rnacentral:rRNA from 1 species
GAUGAACGCUGGCGGCGUGCCUAAUACAUGCAAGUCGAGCGAACAGACGAGAGUGCUUGCACUCUCUGACGUUAGCGGCGGACGGGUGAGUAACACGUGGGUAACCUACCUAUAAGACUGGGAUAACUUCGGGAAACCGGAGCUAAUACCGGAUAAUAUUUAGCUUCGCAUGAAGCAAUAGUGAAAGACGGUUCUGCUGUCACUUAUAGAUGGACCCGCGGUGUAUUAGCUAGUUGGUGAGGUAACGGCUCACCAAGGCAACGAUACAUAGCCGACCUGAGAGGGUGAUCAGCCACACUGGGACUGAGACACGGCCCAGACUCCUACGGGAGGCAGCAGUAGGGAAUCUUCCGCAAUGGACGAAAGUCUGACGGAGCAGUGCCGCGUGAGUGAAGAAGGUUUUCGGAUCGUAAAACUCUGUUGUAAGGGAAGAACAAGUACGUUAGUAACUGAACGUACCUUGACGGUACCUUACCAGAAAGCCACGGCUAACUACGUG